rnacentral:rRNA from 1 species
GAGGUGGAGAGGUUAGAAGUGAGAAUGCCGGUGUGAGUAGCGAAAGAUAGGUGAGAAUCCUAUCCACCGAAAGACUAAGGUUUCCAGAGGAAGGCUCGUCCGCUCUGGGUAAGUCGGGACCUAAGGUGAAGCCGAUAGGUGAAGCCGAUGGACAACAGGUAGAAAUUCCUGUACCACCAAAUAUCGAUUGAGAGAAGUGGGGACAGAGGAGGCUAAUUGAUCGUCCUGAUGGAAUAGGACGUCUAAGCACAAAGGUUGAGUAGUAGGCAAAUCCGCUGCUCGUAAGACUGAAGUGUGAUGGGGAGCGAAAUAUAGUAGCGAAGUCAAUGAAGCCAAACUCUCAAGAAAAGCCGCUAUCGAGAUAAGAGGUGCCCGUACCGCAAACCGACACAGGUAGUUGGGAAGAGAAUUCUAAGGUGAGCGAGAGAACCAUCGUUAAGGAACUCGGCAAAAUGACCCCGUAACUUCGGGAGAAGGGGUGCCUACGAGAGUAGGCCGCAGUGAAUAGGCCCAAGCGACUGUUUAACAAAAACACAGGUCUCUGCAAAACCGAAAGGUGAAGUAUAGGGGCUGACGCCUGCCCGGUGCUGGAAGGUUAAGAGGAGUGCUUAGAGGUAACUCGAAGGUAUGAAUUGAAGCCCCAGUAAACGGCGGCCGUAACUAUAACGGUCCUAAGGUAGCGAAAUUCCUUGUCGGGUAAGUUCCGACCCGCACGAAAGGCGUAAUGAUUUGGGCACUGUCUCAACGAGAGACUCGGUGAAAUUUUAGUACCUGUGAAGAUGCAGGUUACCCGCGACAGGACGGAAAGACCCCAUGGAGCUUUACUGUAGCUUGAUAUUGAAUUUUGAUGCAGUAUGUACAGGAUAGGUAGGAGCCUAGGAAUCAUGCACGCCAGUGUAUGAGGAGGCGCUGUUGGGAUACUACCCUUGCUGUAUUGAAAUUCUAACCCUCGGCGAAGACCGGGAGACAGUGUCAGGUGGGCAGUUUGACUGGGGCGGUCGCCUCCCAAAGAGUAACGGAGGCGUUCAAAGGUUCCCUCAGAAUGGUUGGAAAUCAUUUGCAGAGUGUAAAGGCACAAGGGAGCUUGACUGUGAGACCUACAAGUCGAGCAGGUGCGAAAGCAGGACUUAGUGAUCCGGUGGUUCCGCAUGGAAGGGCCAUCGCUCAACGGAUAAAAGCUACCCUGGGGAUAACAGGCUUAUCUCCCCCAAGAGUCCACAUCGACGGGGAGGUUUGGCACCUCGAUGUCGGCUCAUCGCAUCCUGGGGCUGUAGUCGGUCCCAAGGGUUGGGCUGUUCGCCCAUUAAAGCGGUACGCGAGCUGGGUUCAGAACGUCGUGAGACAGUUCGGUC